GGUCCGGAGUGCGCACGCCGGGGACGCCUCCUUCAGUAAUUUAAUGUAUUAAACAAAAAUCAAAUCAAUAUAAUCAAACGAAAUUAGAAAACGAUAUCGUUAGAAUGUCAGUUUUCCAAUACACCCCUGAGUCGGAUAACAUACAUUCAAUACUUAGAUUCAUUCGGUAAUUAUAUAAUAGGUGAAUUGAAUGUACUAUAGAAAUAUACAUUUUGUGUGUUAUUGUGGUAAAACUCGGGGCAGAAGACUAUCCAAAGAUUCUAACACGAAACAUUCUUGCUUCAUGCUUUUAGGUACUUGUAAAUAUGGGUUUUAAAACUUUGUUUUUAACCGCAAGGAAUAUUUUAUUAUAUUAAUUGGUUCAUUUCCUAAAUGGACUUAGAUAAUCAACUUUAUCACAUCUUAGAGAGCCAAGAACGACGAAUAAGUGUGAACUAACAACCUAAGGGAGACGGGGACGUAUUUUGAAUCCAAUGGCCGUCUACACAGAAGCGGCCGACUAUCUGACCCUACAUAAUUACGAUAACAUUUUGAUUCAGAAUGCAAAUUAAGUUUCCCAGGCCUCCGGUCUCUGCUCAACGCUGUUUGAUUAUUAAUUUUAUUCAGUGAAGUCUUUUGCUUCAAAGAAAUUACGUUCCAUUUGAUAUGAAAUGGGAUCAUUAAAAAUAUUGUGCCCGUGAAA